CCUACGGGAGGCAGCAGUGGGGAAUUUUGGACAAUGGGCGCAAGCCUGAUCCAGCAAUGCCGCGUGAGUGAAGAAGGCCUUCGGGUUGUAAAGCUCUUUUGUCAGGGAAGAAACGGUGAAGGCUAAUAUCCUUUGCUAAUGACGGUACCUGAAGAAUAAGCACCGGCUAACUACGUGCCAGCAGCCGCGGUAAUACGUAGGGUGCAAGCGUUAAUCGGAAUUACUGGGCGUAAAGCGUGCGCAGGCGGUUUUGUAAGUUUGUCGUGAAAUCCCCGGGCUCAACCUGGGAAUGGCGAUGAAGACUGCAAGGCUAGAAUCUGGCAGAGGGGGGUAGAAUUCCACGUGUAGCAGUGAAAUGCGUAGAGAUGUGGAGGAACACCGAUGGCGAAGGCAGCCCCCUGGGUCAAGAUUGACGCUCAUGCACGAAAGCGUGGGGAGCAAACAGGAUUAGAUACCCUGGUAGUCCACGCCCUAAACGAUGUCUACUAGUUGUCGGGUUUUAAUUAACUUGGUAACGCAGCUAACGCGUGAAGUAGACCGCCUGGGGAGUACGGUCGCAAGAUUAAAACCUUAAAGGAAUUGACCGGNUGAGACGUGCGACGGACGACGACGAGGGAGGAGG
rnacentral:rRNA from 1 species